GGUCCAUACGGCCUGACCACAGACAUCACUGUGGUCGGUCCACAUUCCCACCCCUGUCCACUUUGCACAGCAAACACACUGGAGACGGUGGUUACUCUACACACGACACACCGACACUCAGGAAACAGUGGUUUCACAGCGUCUGUCUGGAGUGGCGGAGAGGAUCGUCUGUCUCUGAAUGGGUUAUUCCCUCGGUAACAGACCUCACAUUUCACUCCCUGUUCUGUGAUUAUUUGAGUGACAGGUCUGCCGUGGCAGGGGUUAUGAAGUGAUGGAGAUGUUUCCAGGCAGGGGCCAUUGUGUUGCAGGUUGGCUGUUACUGCAGAGCUGCCAUCUGCUGAAAGGUUGGUGAGGUAUCGAAGAUCCCUUCCUCUCUCACUCGAG